GGGCCCGCACAAGCGGUGGAGCAUGUGGUUUAAUUCGAUGCAACGCGAAGAACCUUACCUACACUUGACAUACAGAGAACUUUCUAGAGAUAGAUUGGUGCCUUCGGGAACUCUGAUACAGGUGCUGCAUGGCUGUCGUCAGCUCGUGUUGUGAGAUGUUGGGUUAAGUCCCGCAACGAGCGCAACCCCUAUCCUUAGUUGCCAGCACAUAAUGGUGGGAACUCUAAGGAGACUGCCGGUGAUAAACCGGAGGAAGGUGGGGACGACGUCAAGGUCAUCAUGGCCCUUACGUGUAGGGCUACACACGUGCUACAAUGGCGCAUACAGAGUGCUGCGAACCUGCGAAGUAAGCGAA
rnacentral:rRNA from 1 species